UACGUAGGGUGCGAGCGUUAAUCGGAAUUAUUGGGCGUAAAGCGUGCGCAGGCGGCGCCAUAAGACAGCUGUGAAAUCCCCGGGCUUAACCUGGGAACUGCGGUUGUGACUGUGGUGCUAGAGUACGGCAGAGGGAGGUGGAAUUCCUGGUGUAGCAGUGAAAUGCGUAGAGAUCAGGAGGAACACCGAUGGCGAAGGCAGCCUCCUGGGCUGAUACUGACGCUCAUGCACGAAAGCGUGGGGAGCAAACAGGAUUAGAUACCCUGGUAGUCCACGCCCUAAACGAUGCCAACUAGUUGUUCGGGAAGGAGACUUCUUGAGUAACGAAGCUAACGCGUGAAGUUGGCCGCCUGGGGAGUACGGUCGCAAGAUUAAA
rnacentral:rRNA from 1 species